CAAUGAGAGAUUUGAUACAUAUUACAUCAAUUUAUACAUCUUUCAUUUUCAAAUGUAUAUGUUAAGAAAACAUUGAUAUUACCAUUAAAUUACAAUAUUAUUGAGGCUUACUUAUACAACUCUCAGAUCAAUAUUUAAAAAGCUGAUUUUCAUACUUUAUAACAAAGCCAAUUACUUGACUUAAUGUUUGAAGACUAGAUAAGUUAAGCAUCAAUUUCUUUAUUUUUUUUUA
rnacentral:lncRNA from 1 species